rnacentral:lncRNA from 1 species
GUACAUGACAACUAGCAUAUUAAGUCCACAAAAUACUAUAAUAUCAUCAAUAAAGCCAAAUAAAAUCACAUUAACAAGCUCGAAUUCUUGAACCCUAAACCGGACGUUCUGGGUUCUUUAUCCCCAUCAGAGUCACCAGAUCUAUCACACCUCCUUUUUCUAUACCACCCUAAAGAGGUAGUAUAUGGGAGUUUUUCCAAUUAAUG